AAACGACUCUCGACAACGGAUAUCUCGGCUCUCGCAUCGAUGAAGAACGUAGUGAAAUGCGAUACUUGGUGUGAAUUGCAGAUUCCCGUGAACCAUCGAGUCUUUGAACGCAAGUUGCGCCCGAAGCCAUUAGGCCGAGGGCACGCCUGCCUGGGCGUCUCGCAA
rnacentral:rRNA from 1 species